rnacentral:misc_RNA from 1 species
CAGAGUUGCAAAACUCCCUAAACCAUCGCUGAAUCGUUACCGUAACGUUGCCUCGGCGCUGGCGGUCCCGGAGGUCCUCCGGGCGCCCCCUCGGGUCUCCCCUCGCGGAGGCUGCCCGCCGGAGGUGCCUACCAAACUCUUGAUAUUUUAUGGCCUCUCUGAGUAUACUUUAAUAAGUCA